UACGUAGGCAGCAAGCGUUGUUCGGAGUUACUGGGCGUAAAGAGUGCGUAGGCGGUGCCCUAAGUCUGUUGUGAAAUCUCCCGGCUUAACUGGGAGGGUGCGGUGGAAACUGGGGUGCUUGAGUGUGGGAGAGGUUAGCGGAAUUCCUGGUGUAGCGGUGAAAUGCGUAGGUAUCGGGAGGAACACCAGUGGCGAAGGCGAUCAUCUGGGGUUGUUCUGACGCUGAGGAGCGAAAGCUAGGGGAGCAAACGGG
rnacentral:rRNA from 1 species